UUACACAUGCAAGUCGAACGGCAGCGCGGGGCAACCUGGCGGCGAGUGGCGAACGGGUGAGUAAUAUAUCGGAACGUGCCCUGGAGUGGGGGAUAACGCAGCGAAAGUUGCGCUAAUACCGCAUACGAUCUAAGGAUGAAAGCGGGGGAUUCGCAAGAACCUCGUGCUCCUGGAGCGGCCGAUAUCUGAUUAGCUAGUUGGUGGGGUAAAGGCCUACCAAGGCAUCGAUCAGUAGCUGGUCUGAGAGGACGACCAGCCACACUGGAACUGAGACACGGUCCAGACUCCUACGGGAGGCAGCAGUGGGGAAUUUUGGACAAUGGGCGAAAGCCUGAUCCAGCAAUGCCGCGUGAGUGAAGAAGGCCUUCGGGUUGUAAAGCUCUUUUGUCAGGGAAGAAACGGUGAAGGCUAAUAUCCUUUGCUAAUGACGGUACCUGAAGAAUAAGCACCGGCUAACUACGUGCCAGCAGCCGCGGUAAUACGUAGGGUGCAAGCGUUAAUCGGAAUUACUGGGCGUAAAGCGUGCGCAGGCGGUUUUGUAAGUCUGUCGUGAAAUCCCCGGGCUCAACCUGGGAAUUGCGAUGGAGACUGCAAGGCUAGAAUCUGGCAGAGGGGGGUAGAAUUCCACGUGUAGCAGUGAAAUGCGUAGAGAUGUGGAGGAACACCGAUGGCGGAGGCAGCCCCCUGGGUCAAGAUUGACGCUCAUGCACGAAAGCGUGGGGAGCAAACAGGAUUAGAUACCCUGGUAGUCCACGCCCUAAACGAUGUCUA
rnacentral:rRNA from 1 species